GAUGAACGCUGGCGGCGUGCCUAACACAUGCAAGUCGAGCGAUCUUCUUCGGAAGAGAGCGGCGGACGGGUGAGUAGCGCGUGGGUAACCUGCCCUGUACACACGGAUAACAUACCGAAAGGUAUGCUAAUACGAGAUAAUAUACUUUUAUCGCAUGGUAGAAGUAUCAAAGCUUUUGCGGUACAGGAUGGACCCGCGUCUGAUUAGCUAGUUGGUAAGGUAACGGCUUACCAAGGCGACGAUCAGUAGCCGACCUGAGAGGGUGAUCGGCCACAUUGGAACUGAGCCCAGGUCCAAACUCCUACGGGAGGCAGCAGUGGGGAAUAUUGCACAAUGGGCGAAAGCCUGAUGCAGCAACGCCGCGUGAGCGAUGAAGGCCUUCGGGUCGUAAAGCUCUGUCCUCAAGGAAGAUAAUGACGGUACUUGAGGAGGAAGCCCCGGCUAACUACGUGCCAGCAGCCGCCGUAAAAC
rnacentral:rRNA from 1 species